CGCUCCAAUCUCAGCCGUCAGUUCCUCUUCAGGUCCCAGGACGUUGGUAGACCCAAGGCAGAGGUGGCUGCAGCAGCUGCCCGGGGCCUGAACCCAGACUUACAGGUGAUCCCGCUCACCUACCCACUGGAUCCCACCACAGAGCACAUCUAUGGGGAUAACUUUUUCUCCCGUGUGGAUGGUGUGGCUGCUGCCCUGGACAGUUUCCAGGCCCGUGAGUGCUUGACUUCGGAGGUCAGUCCCUUGCCCACAGCUGUGCCAGUCCCACUUCUGACCCACUGCUCCCUUGCCAGGGCGCUAUGUGGCUGCUCGUUGCACCCACUAUCUGAAGCCACUGCUGGAGGCAGGCACAUUGGGCACCUGGGGCAGUGCUACAGUAUUCAUGCCACAUGUGACUGAGGCCUACAGAGCCCCUGCCUCAGCUGCAGCUUCUGAGGAUGCCCCCUACCCUGUCUGUACCGUGCGGUACUUCCCUAGCACAGCCGAGCACACCCUGCA
rnacentral:sRNA from 1 species